UACGUAGGGUGCAAGCGUUGUCCGGAAUUAUUGGGCGUAAAGAGCUCGUAGGUGGUUUGUCGCGUUGUUCGUGAAAACUCACAGCUCAACUGUGGGCGUGCGGGCGAUACGGGCAGACUAGAGUACUGCAGGGGAGACUGGAAUUCCUGGUGUAGCGGUGGAAUGCGCAGAUAUCAGGAGGAACACCGGUGGCGAAGGCGGGUCUCUGGGCAGUAACUGACGCUGAGGAGCGAAAGCGUGGGGAGCGAGCAGG
rnacentral:rRNA from 1 species